rnacentral:lncRNA from 1 species
ACUUAAAAAAAAAAAACUCAGAGGAUGAUAUAACAAAAGCAGUCUUAUUAGACCUAAUGAUAAUGACUGACAUUUGUUGAGUUUUUCCUAUGCGCCAGUGGCUGUUCUAAGGGAUUUACAUCUAUUGACUCAGUUUCUCCUUGCAGCGACAUGCGAGAAUUGAAGACUAGUGGAAGACCAUGGCUGCUGGCACGGACUAAGGACAGGAUUACCUGCCUUUGAAUGCUAGUGACUCUCUUACUGGUUGGGUUAGCUAGAGUGAGGAACACCCUGUCACUCAAGCUCAAUAAAAU